UGUGCAGGCGGGCAGACAAGUGGUGUAUGAAAUGACCAGGCUCAACCUGGAACGGUUAUGCCAGACUGUUUGUCUAGAGUGCGAGAGAGGGGCGUGGAAUUCCGGGUGUAGUGGUGAAAUGCGUAGAGAUCCGGAGGAACCCCAGAGGCGAAGGCGGCGCCCUGGCUCGCAACUGACGCUCAGCCACGACAGCAUGGGGAGCGAACGGGAUUAGAAACCCCGGUAGUCCAUGCCGUAAACGAUGCAAACUAGGCGCUGGCGGUCUCAACCCCGCCGGUGCCGUAGCUAACGCGCUAAGUUUGCCGCCUGGGGAGUACGGCCGCAAGGCUAAA
rnacentral:rRNA from 1 species